rnacentral:rRNA from 1 species
GAUGAACGCUGGCGGCGUGCCUAAUACAUGCAAGUCGAGCGAACAGAUGAGGAGCUUGCUCCUCUGACGUUAGCGGCGGACGGGUGAGUAACACGUGGAUAACCUACCUAUAAGACUGGGAUAACUUCGGGAAACCGGAGCUAAUACCGGAUAAUAUAUUGAACCGCAUGGUUCAAUAGUGAAAGACGGUUUUGCUGUCACUUAUAGAUGGAUCCGCGCCGCAUUAGCUAGUUGGUAAGGUAACGGCUUACCAAGGCAACGAUGCGUAGCCGACCUGAGGGGGGGAUGGCCCACUCUGAAGCGAGGACCCGGUCCGGAGUCCUAGGGGAGGCACCGGUGGGGAACCUACCGAAAGGGGCGAAAGCCUGACGGGGCAACGCGGCGUAGGUGAGGAGGGUCUUCGGUCGUAAAACUCUGUUAUUAGGGAAGAACAAAUGUGUAAGUAACUAUGCACGUCUUGACGGUACCUAAUCAGAAAGCCACGGCUAACUACGUG